UUCCUGGUGGCUCAGUGGUAAAAGAAUCUGCCUGCAAUGCAGGAGACCUGGGUUCGAUUCCUGGGUUGGGAA
rnacentral:tRNA from 1 species